rnacentral:lncRNA from 1 species
AGGUCGAUCUCUGGGCUGCUCUUCCCUCCUCGAUGGCUCAGGCUGCGGCAGGGCCUGUGGCUGAUCUUCUCUACCCUCAGGCCGGCACCGAAUGAACCUAUCGAGUCGACCUCGCCGGAUGAGCUCCUCGAUCUCGUCUCAGAGCUGGAUGCAUUCCUCCGUGUCAUGGCCAUGGUCACGAUGGUAGAGGCAGAACUUGUUGGGGUUGCACUUCCUAGGGUGCGUGCGCAUCCUCUCUGGCCUUGGGAGCUGCGCUCUGACUUCCAUCAGCACCUAAGUUUUUGAUGCAUUGAGGGGGGCAUAGUUGCGGAACCUUCCUGGGGGAGAGCCCCACCGAGCUCGGUGCUCCGGUCUUCCCUGCCUGCGUGCUCGAGGAGUCUGGGCGCGCUUGUGCCCGGGAGGAGUUCGAGAACAUGGUCGAGCUUCUCUCGGCCCUUUUUUGAUUGCGGGCUUACUCGAGUCUCCCGCCUGCCGCCUUCUCGCAGUCUCCUCAUCCUUCAUCUUGAAGGCUUUUUCCGCUCGGGCAUACCCUUCGGCCCGAGCCAA